rnacentral:rRNA from 1 species
UACAGAGGGGGCAAGCGUUGUUCGGAAUUACUGGGCGUAAAGGACGCGUAGGCGGCCCGCUAAGUCGAACGUGAAAUCCCCGAGCUCAACUCGGGAACUGCGUCCGAUACUGGCGGGCUUGAAUCCGGGAGAGGGAUGCGGAAUUCCAGGUGUAGCGGUGAAAUGCGUAGAUAUCGGAAGGAACAUCAGUGGCGAAAGCGGCUUCCUGGACCAGCACCGACGUCAGGCACGAAAGCGUGGGGAGCAAACAGG